rnacentral:rRNA from 2 species
CUGGCUCAGGAUGAACGCUGGCGGCGUGCCUAAUACAUGCAAGUCGAACGAGUUCUCGUUGAUGAUCGGUGCUYGCACCGAGAUUCAACAUGGAACGAGUGGCGGACGGGUGAGUAACACGUGGGUAACCUGCCCUUAAGUGGGGGAUAACAUUUGGAAACAGAUGCUAAUACCGCAUAGAUCCAAGAACCGCAUGGUUCUUGGCUGAAAGAUGGCGUAAGCUAUCGCUUUUGGAUGGACCCGCGGCGUAUUAGCUAGUUGGUGAGGUAAUGGCUCACCAAGGCGAUGAUACGUAGCCGAACUGAGAGGUUGAUCGGCCACAUUGGGACUGAGACACGGCCCAAACUCCUACGGGAGGCAGCAGUAGGGAAUCUUCCACAAUGGACGCAAGUCUGAUGGAGCAACGCCGCGUGAGUGAAGAAGGCUUUCGGGUCGUAAAACUCUGUUGUUGGAGAAGAAUGGUCGGCAGAGUAACUGUUGUCGGCGUGACGGUAUCCAACCAGAAAGCCACGGCUAACUACGUGCCAGCAGCCGCGGUAAUACGUAGGUGGCAAGCGUUAUCCGGAUUUAUUGGGCGUAAAGCGAGCGCAGGCGGUUUUUUAAGUCUGAUGUGAAAGCCCUCGGCUUAACCGAGGAAGCGCAUCGGAAACUGGGAAACUUGAGUGCAGAAGAGGACAGUGGAACUCCAUGUGUAGCGGUGAAAUGCGUAGAUAUAUGGAAGAACACCAGUGGCGAAGGCGGCUGUCUGGUCUGUAACUGACGCUGAGGCUCGAAAGCAUGGGUAGCGAACAGGAUUAGAUACCCUGGUAGUCCAUGCCGUAAACGAUGAAUGCUAGGUGUUGGAGGGUUUCCGCCCUUCAGUGCCGCAGCUAACGCAUUAAGCAUUCCGCCUGGGGAGUACGACCGCAAGGUUGAAACUCAAAGGAAUUGACGGGGGCCCGCACAAGCGGUGGAGCAUGUGGUUUAAUUCGAAGCAACGCGAAGAACCUUACCAGGUCUUGACAUCUUUUGAUCACCUGAGAGAUCAGGUUUCCCCUUCGGGGGCAAAAUGACAGGUGGUGCAUGGUUGUCGUCAGCUCGUGUCGUGAGAUGUUGGGUUAAGUCCCGCAACGAGCGCAACCCUUAUGACUAGUUGCCAGCAUUUAGUUGGGCACUCUAGUAAGACUGCCGGUGACAAACCGGAGGAAGGUGGGGAUGACGUCAAAUCAUCAUGCCCCUUAUGACCUGGGCUACACACGUGCUACAAUGGAUGGUACAACGAGUUGCGAGACCGCGAGGUYAAGCUAAUCUCUUAAAGCCAUUCUCAGUUCGGACUGUAGGCUGCAACUCGCCUACACGAAGUCGGAAUCGCUAGUAAUCGCGGAUCAGCACGCCGCGGUGAAUACGUUCCCGGGCCUUGUACACACCGCCCGUCACACCAUGAGAGUUUGUAACACCCGAAGCCGGUGGCGUAACCCUUUUAGGGAGCGAGCCGUCUAAGGUGGGACAAAUGAUUAGGGUGAAGUCGUA